CAUUCCUUCCCAACAGUCCCCCAGAGUCUUAACUCAUUUCAGCAUUAACUCAGAAGUCCACAGUCCAAAGUCUCAUCUGAGACAAGGCAAGUUCCUUCUACCUAUGAGCUUGUAACAUCAUAAACAAGUUAGUUACUUCCCAGAUACAAUGAGGGUACAGGCAUUGGGUAAAUAAACCCAUUUCAAAUGGGAGAAAUUGGCCAAAACAAAGAGGCUGCAGGUGCCAUGCAAGUUCGAAAUCCAAUAGGGCAGUCAUGAAACCUUAAAGUUCCAAAAUGAUCUCCCAGCCUCCCAAGUAGCUGGGACUAUAGGCGUCCGCCACCAUGCCCAGCUAAUUUUUUGUAUUUUUAGUAGAGACGGGGUUUCACCAUGUUAGUCAAGAU
rnacentral:lncRNA from 1 species